rnacentral:rRNA from 1 species
GACGUAGGGGGCCAGCGUUGCUCGGAAUUACUGGGCGUAAAGGGUUCGUAGGCGGUGUGGCAAGUCGGGAGUGAAAUCUCUGGGCUUAACUCAGGGGCUGCUUCCGAAACUGCCGCGCUAGAGUGCGGGAUAGGCGAGUGGAAUUGCAGGUGUAGCGGUGAAAUGCGUAGAUAUCUGCAGGAACACCCGUGGCGAAGGCGGCUCGCUGGACCGCAACUGACGCUGAGGAACGAAAGCUAGGGGAGCAAACAGG